GGGGAAUUUUGGACAAUGGGUGCAAGCCUGAUCCAGCCAUGCCGCGUGUCUGAAGAAGGCCUUCGGGUUGUAAAGGACUUUUGUCAGGGAAGAAAAGGCUGUUGCUAAUAUCAGCGGCUGAUGACGGUACCUGAAGAAUAAGCACUGGCUAACUACGUGCCAGCAGCCGCGGUAAUACGUAGGGUGCGAGCGUUAAUCGGAAUUACUGGGCGUAAAGCGGGCGCAGACGGUUACUUAAGCAGGAUGUGAAAUCCCCGGGCUCAACCCGGGAACUGCGUUCUGAACUGGGUGACUCGAGUGUGUCAGAGGGAGGUAGAAUUCCACGUGUAGCAGUGAAAUGCGUAGAGAUGUGGAGGAAUACCGAUGGCGAAGGCAGCCUCCUGGGACAACACUGACGUUCAUGCCCGAAAGCGUGGGUAGCAAACAGGAUUAGAUACCCUGGUAGUCCACGCCCUAAACGAUGUCAAUUAGCUGUUGGGCAACCUGAUUGCUUGGUAGCGUAGCUAACGCGUGAAAUUGACCGCCUGGGGAGUACGGUCGCAAGAUUA
rnacentral:rRNA from 1 species